CUUGACCUCGGAUCAGGUAGGAUAC
rnacentral:rRNA from 1 species